AGCAACAGCAACAGCAGCCAAAUAUAAACGACAGCAGCGGAAAUACAUUUUUGUGCAAACAAAAUGAAACAGCGGAGCAGGUGAAACACUUUUACAGCAUGCGGAAAUUUGGAAUAACUAUCUACACUUUAGUUGUUUCUUGGAGCUACAAUGAUAUUGUCGUCGAGUGCCUUGCUUAACGCUUUUAUAGUUAUAGUAGCCGUGGUAACUACCAGCAAAUACAAAAUACACUGUCCACCAUGGCCAAGCUGCGACGCAUUGGAAUUGUGUUGUCAAUGAAAAUCAUCUUUUAAAAUCAA